rnacentral:rRNA from 1 species
GCGUCCGCAGGUGGCCUGCCAAGUUCUGCUGUUAAAGCCCAGGGCUCAACCCUGGAUCAGCAGUGGAAACUGGUAGGCUAGAGUGCGGUAGGGGCAGAGGGAAUUCCCAGUGUAGCGGUGAAAUGCGUAGAUAUUGGGAAGAACACCAGUGGCGAAGGCGCUCUGCUGGACCGCAACUGACACUCAUGGACGAAAGCUAGGGGAGCGAAAGGGAUUAGAUACCCCUGUAGUCCUAGCCGUAAACGAUGGACACUAGGUGUUGGACGUAUCGACCCGUUCAGUGCCGUAGCCAACGCGUUAAGUGUCCCGCCUGGGGAGUACGCACGCAAGUGUGAAACUCAAAGGAAUUGACGGGGGCCCGCACAAGCGGUCCGCUUGUGC